rfam:Gasterosteus aculeatus cont1.008657, whole genome shotgun sequence.
UAAAAGGCUCUUUUAAGAGCCACCCAACCCUUCCUCAAAGAGCUUUU